AUUGAACGCUGGCGGCAGGCCUAACACAUGCAAGUCGAGCGGAGCGGCGGACGGGUGCGUAAUGCCUAGGCGUCUGCCUCGUGGUGGGGGAUAACGUCCGGAAACGGGCGCUAAUACCGCAUCCUAUCAGAUGAGCCUAGGUCGGAUUAGCUAGUUGGUGGGGUAAAGGCCUACCAAGGCGACGAUCCGUAACGGGUCUGAGAGGAUGAACGGUCACACGGGAACUGAGACACGGGCCAGACUCCUACGGGAGGCAGAAUUGGGGAAGAUUGGACAAUGGGCGAAAGCCUGAUCCAGCCAUGCCGCGUGUGUGAAGAAGGUCUUCGGAUGGUAAAGCACUUUAAGUUGGGAGGCGUUACCAACAGAAUAAGCACCGGCUAACUUCGUGCCAGCCGCCGCGGUAAUUC
rnacentral:rRNA from 1 species